rnacentral:rRNA from 1 species
GAUGAGUCCGCGUACCAUUAGCUAGUUGGUAGGGUAAUGGCCUACCAAGGCUGCGAUGGUUAGCUGGUCUGAGAGGAUGAUCAGCCACACUGGAACUGAGACACGGUCCAGACUCCUACGGGAGGCAGCAGUGAGGAAUCUUGCGCAAUGGGGGCAACCCUGACGCAGCAACGCCGCGUGAGUGAGGAAGGUCUUCGGAUCGUAAAGCUCUGUCGGAUGGGAAGAAAUGCGUAUCGGUCAAUACCCGGUACGCUUGACGGUACCAUCAAAGGAAGCACCGGCUAACUCCGUGCCAGCAGCCGCGGUAAUACGGGGGGUGCAAGCGUUGUUCGGA